AGACCAAUGAGUGAUGAACGAUGUUAGUUACCUUGAUCCUUUGCAUAUUUGUCGCUGAAGGAACUGGGUGGCUUUUGAGCCCACGAAAGAGGCAUGAGGAUACUACCCGCAAAUAGGACAGUCAAGAGGUCUCUAAGGGUUCAUCACAUCCAGAUGAGCGUGGAGAUGAUCAAAUUCCGGGGUUCAAUUUCUCUUUGCACCGGGAAGGCGGCAGCCAAAUAUUCCACGGAUGUUACACAACACUCAAUGAAGCUUCGAAGCCUGGAAGAAGAUUCCUUCCACUUGGCGUCGUAUGUGCUCCACAUACGCAUUUGUUACAAAAGAAGAGAAGAAGGAAGGCGAAGCGAAAACCACCAUGAUCAAAGGCCCGGGUCUAAGUUCCUCAUAGAUCGUAGGGGUAUGAUUGUGGAGAUUGGCGAUGACCUAUCGAGGCCGCUCUUUAUCUCAUCAAAACUUCGGUGGAUGGAAGGCAAGAAUAGGAAGGUGAAAUGAUCACGGCUACCCCGCCUCCCACACUUCACAUCUAGGGGUUUCAUCUACUAUAAUGGAUUAAUUCCAAAUCAGAAGUCAUCAUCGAUCAUGAAGAGCGUAAGAGCGGUAUUACUAAAGGUUUUGAGGCUUGAGAUGGGAGAUUCCAGGGGGGUUUACCGAGCUUCAAAGCCGCCAAGGACUCGAACCCUCAAUCAGAUGUCUUGUUGGUCCAGCUGCACAUACGUACGUACAUCCAUCUAAAAAAGUUUUCUUUGUCAUUUCUGCCUCUGAAGAUAAUAAAACAAGCUAUGCUCUGUAAUCAAAGCCACAAGUUAAUCGGAAACCGAUAAUUUAGAUCUCCGUACUUCAUUUGAUUUUAAUAUGAGAGAUACUCACACAACGAUG